GACGAACGCUGGCGGCGUGCUUAACACAUGCAAGUCGAACGGAAAGGCCCUGCUUUGUGGGGUUCCUGAGUGGCGAACGGGUGAGUAAAACGUGAGUAACCUGCCCUUGACUUUGGGAUUACUUCAGGAAACCGGGGCCAAUACCCGAUAAGAGCCCCCUCCGCCAGGUGGGGGUUGGAAAGUUUCGGCGGUUGGGGAUGGACUCGCGGCUUAUCAGCUUGUUGGUGGGGUAGUGGCUUACCAAGGCUUUGACGGGUAGCCGGCCUGAGAGGGUGACCGGCCACAUUGGGACUGAGAUACGGCCCAGACUCCUACGGGAGGCAGCAGUGGGGAAUAUUGCACAAUGGGCGGAAGCCUGAUGCAGCAACGCCGCGUGCGGGAUGACGGCCUUCGGGUUGUAAACCGCUUUCGCCUGUGACGAAGCGUGAGUGACGGUAAUGGGUAAAGAAGCACCGGCUAACUACGUG
rnacentral:rRNA from 1 species